rnacentral:lncRNA from 1 species
AGCAUGGAAGUUCUACUGUGAGUCAGUUUCCCCAGGUCAAGGCUGUUGGAUGACUGAUGCCCUGACUAAUUUAACAUCUAGCAAAGGUUUAUAAUUCUUGGACAAAACUUGUCCCACCCAGAAGGCUACCCUGCUCCACCCGUCAUGAGCAAGGGCUACUGAAGGGUUGUUCAAC